rnacentral:rRNA from 1 species
GACGAACGCUGGCGGCGUGCUUAACACAUGCAAGUCGAACGGAAAGGCCCUGCUUUUGUGGGGUUCUUGAGUGGCGAACGGGUGAGUAACACGUGAGUAACCUGCCCUUGUCUUUGGGAUAACUUCAGGAAACUGGGGCUAAUACCGGAUAGGAGCUCCUGCUGCAUGGUGGGGGUUGGAAAGUUUCGGCGGUUGGGGAUGGACUCGCGGCUUAUCAGCUUGUUGGUGGGGUAGUGGCUUACCAAGGCUUUGACGGGUAGCCGGCCUGAGAGGGUGACCGGCCACAUUGGGACUGAGAGACGGACCAGACUCCUACGGGAGGCAGCAGGGGGGAGUCUUGCGCAAUGGGCGGAAGCCUGAUGCAGCAACGCCGCGUGCGGGAUGACGGCCUUCGGGUUGAAAACCGCUUUGGCCUGAGACGAAGCGUGAGUGACGGUAAUGAGUAAAGAAGCACCGGCUAACUACGUG